ACACACACACACACACACACACACACACACACACACACACAGACGUUUCCAUAGAGAGAGGUUCCACUUUGCAUUAGCAGCUCAUGCUUCAGCGCUCUGCGAGUGUUUAUAGCCCUGUGACUUUAACACUUCAUGACUGAGAGCUGCUGCUCAGCGACUUCACCCACAGCAACCAUGAGUUUGAUCAGCGUCUUCAUCUGCACACUGGCCCUCUGCGCUCGAGGAUCCAGAGGUCAGGUGACUGUGACUCAGAGUCCUGCAGUGAAAUCAGUUUCUCCAGGAGACACACUCACCAUCAGCUGUAAAACCAGUACUCCUGUUUUCUUUGCUAGUAAUUUUGAUUGGUUGUCCUGGUAUCAGCAGAAACCUGGAGAAGCUCCUAAACUCCUGAUCUAUGUUGCUAACAGUAGAGAAUCAGGUGUUCCAGAUCGUUUUAGUGGCAGUGGAUCUGGAUCUGAUUUCACUCUGACCAUCAGUGGAGUCCAGACUGAAGAUGUUGGAGAUUAUUACUGUCAGAGUGUACAUGAGAUCAGUAGUAGCUACGUGUUCACACAGUGUUAGAGCGUCGUACAAAAACCUGUGUGAGUGUGACUGCUGCAGCUGGGACCUACUGCAGGUGCUGAGGGACACACACACACACACACACACACACACACACACACACACACUACAGUAAGUGUAUAUGAUGAAGCUGACUUUGCUGAAACAUACAGCUGUGUGUCAUUAGCCUAGCAGUGGAAGCUAACAGCAUGUUAAUGAAUCAUUUUACCCAGAGGCAGCAUGUAGAGGGAAAAAGCACUGGGUCUAGAACAGAGCUGUCUCAGUGCUGGGAUCAGGACUAAAUACUGACUCAGACAUUUCAUCUACAGACAACACAAAGUGGGUUUGGACUCUUAAGUCACAUUUAC